ensembl:lncRNA
GGAUUUAGCUCAGUGGUAGAGAGCUUGCCUAGGAAGCGCAAGGCCCUGGGUUCGGUCCCCAGCUCCGAAAAAAAGAACAAAAAAAAAAAAAAAAAAAAAAAAAGAAACAACAACAAAAACCAUCCUGCCUUGAAACUUGCAGUGCACCAGUGUAUCACAUGCUAUAUACACUAUUGAAAACAACUUUUCUUGCAAAUGCUCAUUUCAUUGAAUCAUUGGUCUGGUUCAAAGCCUCUGGCUUCUGUUCCACCAUCAAUACUGGAUCCUCGUUGGGAAACAUUCAAACAUUUUGUUGUUGCCUUGUGUCAUGGAGAUCUUACAGCUUUGGAACAGCAGCACUGGUCUCUUCACAUGCUCCAGGAGUUCUAGGGUGGAGCCCUCUCUAGGGGGAUAAUACUCAGGCUCACUUCCUGCUCUCAGCUGUGCAUCUGACAGCCUGGCAGCCUGUGCAGAAGCCCCAGGAUCAGAGCUCACUCUCUCAGGCCACAGACGGGUGUUAGAAGAUGGAAGGGAGCAGCCUCAGCCCCAGGUUCCUGCCCUGUGUGAGUUCCUGUCCUGACUUCCUUUGGUGAUGAACAGCAAUGUGGAAGUGUUGACUAUUUGGGAUCCUUGGUCUGCCAAGUCUAGAAGCUAUGCUCUGAAGUUGGACAGCUUACCUGUAUGGCUGUUUGAUCGGUGAGGCUAUAAGUAGGCCAGAUGGGGUUGCUUGCUAUUAUGUGCUUGGUUGGGUAGAGACAACCAUACUUUGCUAUGACAUAGAGACAACACACUGUCCUGGGGAAUAGACAGACAGGCACUGUGGCCAUACCGGACUGCUGCUAGGCAGGAACCAUAAGUGCCUUCCCUGGAGAGGUAGAGGCACAGGCUGCCUGGGCAGAGCAGAGCAGCUGACUGUGCUCUCCCACUGAGUACCUCUGAUAGUGGAGACAGGGCUGCACCCCCAUCUUAUCAUCCUGCCCUGUUUGUUCUUUUCAUGGCCUCCUGAGUCCUUCGGUGUUCUUCAUUGAGCAAGACAGAGGGAGACCUCCCGUAGGGCACGUCAGAGCUCUGGGGGAGCUCUAUGCUUGUUUCUGGUUCCCCAGUAUAGACAGACCUGAGGUCGAGGGUCACCAUCUUGGUAAGGCUAAUCCUAGACUGAGGAGGGACAAUGCAGGCAGAGAAAAUGCUUCUCUUGCCCUUCACAUGUGGCUUUGGUGGCCCAUGGGUAAGGUUAGUCUUCUCUUGCAGUUGUUGUGUUUGAGUGGGGGGAGGUAGUUACUGGUUGAUCAUUCUGUGUUGGGGUCUAAGUCAUAGACAUCCUGACAUCAACAAGAUGCCUUUUUAACUCAGUGCUGUCUGUCACCUCCUGGCAUCCCUAUUCAGAGUCAUGUAGACUCUUAGCUUGGUUUCUAAGGCAGUGAUAAAACACCACGACCAAAAACAACUUGGG